rnacentral:rRNA from 1 species
GUAGUUAGCCGGGGCUUCCUCCUUGGCUACCGUCACUUUCUUCGUCACCAAGGACAGAGGUUUACAAUCCGAAGACCUUCUUCCCUCACGCGGCGUUGCUGGGUCAGGCUUGCGCCCAUUGCCCAAUAUUCCCCACUGCUGCCUCCCGUAGGAGUCUGGACCGUGUCUCAGUUCCAGUGUGGCCGAUCAGCCUCUCAGCUCGGCUACCCAUCGUUGGCUAGGUGGGCCGUUACCCCGCCUACUACCUAAUGGGACGCGAACCCCUCCUUCUGCGGAUUGCUCCUUUGACCCCUGAGCCAUGCGACUCUGUGGUCUUAUGCGGUAUUAGCACUUGUUUCCAGGUGUUAUCCCCCUCAAAAGGGCAGGUUGUUCACGCGUUACUCACCCGUUCGCCACUAGCUAUAAAUCCGAAAACCUAUAGCCCGUUCGACUUGCAUGUGUUAGGCACGCCGCCAGCGUUCGUCCUGAGCACGAUACAACUACUCGA